rnacentral:rRNA from 1 species
AUACAGAGAGUGCAAGCGUUAAUCGGAAUUACUGGGCGUAAAGCGCGCGUAGGUGGAUACUUUAGUCGGAUGUGAAAGCCCUGGGCUUAACCUAGGAACUGCAUCCGAAACUGGGUGUCUAGAGUAUAGUAGAGGGAAGUGGAAUUUCCGGUGUAGCGGUGAAAUGCGUAGAUAUCGGAAGGAACACCAGUGGCGAAGGCGGCUUCCUGGACUAAUACUGACACUGAGGUGCGAAAGCGUGGGGAGCAAACAGGAUUAGAAACCCCAGUAGUCC